GGACGUGGGGCAGAUGUGUGACAGCCUUGGGAGUUAGGUGUAAUGGGAGGUGAAGAGAUGAGGGGCUAGAAGAGGGCAAGCGCGGACUGGUGGAGGCCCAGAAGAGAUGACAAGCGCUAGGGCGAGCAGAGGGGCACAGGAGACGGUUGGGCAGGAAGGAGACUCGCGCCCUGUGGUGUGUGACAGCUCUCUCCCUUGCUCUUGGCGUUGAAGAACCUUUACAGAGGAGCUGCAGAACAUUCCUAUCUCCCUGCCCCACCCCCACCCCCAUCCUCCUCAGCACCCCUUCCCCAGUCAACCUCCUGGUUCCUGCCACUCCUCUCUGCCGUCACUGGUUGGCUUCUGUGCCCCUCAGAGACAGGACUUCAAGUGGAUCAAGGGACGAAAGUCAUCGCUGAGACUUUCCAUGAGAAAUCCACAGUUUUAGAUGGUAUCUGCAAAUGAAAGGACUGUGACCAGUUAGAAUUCGAUCAUGUGGGCUCUGCUACGAUGGUGAUCUGUCUGUGCUGAGACCUAAUCCAGUUUAUACUCUGAACACGCCAAGGAAAGCGCCAAGGACUCCCAGACGGUCUCACGCACAGGCAAAUCUGAGACGCAGAAGAGGUCUUCACAACCCCGGACCUGGAAGAAGAUAACUCAGCAUGUGCGUGUUUUAUUUCAAACCAUCUGGUGUCACAGGCCUGGUAGAACUUCUGCAUUUCAUUUUUGGCACUCUUGUUUUUAUUUGGUUGCUAGAAAUCCCCUAAAUAAUCAAAGCACCAAGAACUUCA
rnacentral:lncRNA from 1 species